rnacentral:rRNA from 1 species
GGAUGAACGCUAGCUACAGGCUUAACACAUGCAAGUCGAGGGGCAUCAGGAAGAAAGCUUGCUUUCUUUGCUGGCGACCGGCGCACGGGUGAGUAACACGUAUCCAACCUGCCCUUUACUCGGGGAUAGCCUUUCGAAAGAAAGAUUAAUACCCGAUAGCAUAAUGAUUCCGCAUGGUUUCAUUAUUAAAGGAUUCCGGUAAAGGAUGGGGAUGCGUUCCAUUAGGUUGUUGGUGAGGUAACGGCCCACCAAGCCUUCGAUGGAUAGGGGUUCUGAGAGGAAGGUCCCCCACAUUGGAACUGAGACACGGUCCAAACUCCUACGGGAGGCAGCAGUGAGGAAUAUUGGUCAAUGGGCGCUAGCCUGAACCAGCCAAGUAGCGUGAAGGAUGAAGGCUCUAUGGGUCGUAAACUUCUUUUAUAUAAGAAUAAAGUGCAGUAUGUAUACUGUUUUGUAUGUAUUAUAUGAAUAAGGAUCGGCUAACUCCGUGCCAGCAGCCGCGGUAAUACGGAGGAUCCGAGCGUUAUCCGGAUUUAUUGGGUUUAAAGGGAGCGUAGGUGGACUGGUAAGUCAGUUGUGAAAGUUUGCGGCUCAACCGUAAAAUUGCAGUUGAUACUGUCAGUCUUGAGUACAGUAGAGGUGGGCGGAAUUCGUGGUGUAGCGGUGAAAUGCUUAGAUAUCACGAAGAACUCCGAUUGCGAAGGCAGCUCACUGGACUGCAACUGACACUGAUGCUCGAAAGUGUGGGUAUCAAACAGGAUUAGAUACCCUGGUAGUCCACACAGUAAACGAUGAAUACUCGCUGUUUGCGAUAUACAGUAAGCGGCCAAGCGAAAGCAUUAAGUAUUCCACCUGGGGAGUACGCCGGCAACGGUGAAACUCAAAGGAAUUGACGGGGGCCCGCACAAGCGGAGGAACAUGUGGUUUAAUUCGAUGAUACGCGAGGAACCUUACCCGGGCUUAAAUUGCAGUGGAAUGAUGUGGAAACAUGUCAGUGAGCAAUCACCGCUGUGAAGGUGCUGCAUGGUUGUCGUCAGCUCGUGCCGUGAGGUGUCGGCUUAAGUGCCAUAACGAGCGCAACCCUUAUCUUUAGUUACUAACAGGUUAUGCUGAGGACUCUAGAGAGACUGCCGUCGUAAGAUGUGAGGAAGGUGGGGAUGACGUCAAAUCAGCACGGCCCUUACGUCCGGGGCUACACACGUGUUACAAUGGGGGGUACAGAAGGCAGCUAGCGGGUGACCGUAUGCUAAUCCCAAAAUCCUCUCUCAGUUCGGAUCGAAGUCUGCAACCCGACUUCGUGAAGCUGGAUUCGCUAGUAAUCGCGCAUCAGCCACGGCGCGGUGAAUACGUUCCCGGGCCUUGUACACACCGCCCGUCAAGCCAUGGGAGCCGGGGGUACCUGAAGUACGUAACCGCAAGGAUCGUCCUAGGGUAAAACUGG